rnacentral:rRNA from 1 species
GAUGAACGCUGGCGGCGUGCUUAACACAUGCAAGUCGAACGGAAAGGCCCAAGCUUGCUUGGGUACUCGAGUGGCGAACGGGUGAGUAACACGUGGGUGACCUGCCCUGCACUUUGGGAUAAGUCUGGGAAACUGGGUCUAAUACCGGAUAGGACGUUGGUCUGGAUGCCAUUGUGGAAAGUUUUUUCGGUGUGGGAUGAGCUCGCGGCGUAUCAGCUUGUUGGGGGGGUAAUGGCCUAUCACGGCGCUGUCGGGUAGCCGGCCUGUGAGGGUGUACGGCCACACUGUGGCUGAGAUACAGGCCAGACUCCUACGCGGGGCAGCAGAGGGGAAUAUUGCGCAAUGGGCGCGAGCGUGAGGCAGCGACGCCGCGUGGGGGAUAACGGCCUUCGGGGUGUAAACACCGUUCGCGAGGGACAAGGCGCGUUUGUGACGGUACCGGGUAAAGAAGCACCGGCUAACUACGUG